AUUGAACGCUGGCGGCAGGCCUAACACAUGCAAGUCGAGCGGAUGAAGGGAGCUUGCUCCUGGAUUCAGCGGCGGACGGGUGAGUAAUGCCUAGGAAUCUGCCUGGUAGUGGGGGAUAACGUCCGGAAACGGGCGCUAAUACCGCAUACGUCCUGAGGGAGAAAGUGGGGGAUCUUCGGACCUCACGCUAUCAGAUGAGCCUAGGUCGGAUUAGCUAGUUGGUGGGGUAAAGGCCUACCAAGGCGACGAUCCGUAACUGGUCUGAGAGGAUGAUCAGUCACACUGGAACUGAGACACGGUCCAGACUCCUACGGGAGGCAGCAGUGGGGAAUGGUGGACAAUGGGCGAAAGCCUGAUCCAGCCAUGCCGCGUGUGUGAAGAAGGUCUUCGGAUUGUAAAGCACUUUAAGUUGGGAGGAAGGGCAGUAAGUUAAUACCUUGCUGUUUUGACGUUACCAACAGAAUAAGCACCGGCUAACUUCGUG
rnacentral:rRNA from 1 species